UAUUGUUUCUAUACCGGCGUUCCUUCUUCUUGGAUGUUCUCUUUAUUCCUUGCCUUCAGUUCUCUAUACCGUGCUUGCCUUUUUCUCCCCGUCCGUUCGCCGUCUGUAGCCGCAGUUCUCAUUCUUCUAUAUACCCUGCUGUGUAAACCCUAAACAGCAACGAUGGCCACCCGCAACUGGAAUCUGGAGUGCAAGGUAUAUGUCGGAAAUCUUGGCAACAGUGCUGCCAAGAAUGAGAUUGAAGAUGCCUUCAGCAAGUACGGGAAUCUGCGCAACGUGUGGAUUGCGCGCAACCCUCCCGGCUUUGCAUUUGUGGAGUUUGAGGACCCACGGGAUGCUGAGGACGCAGUGCGAGGACUGGAUGGAACUCGGCUGUGCGGCGAGCGGGUCCGUGUGGAGAUGUCGUCCGGCAAGAGCCGCAGCCGCGGUGGUAUGCGCGGCGGCGGCGGCUACGGCGGUGGUGGUUUCGGCGGCAGGAGAUUUCCAUCAUACCACCACCCCUUGCCUCCGUCCAUCACACUUCACGGCCUAGCGUGGGUCACGUGACGCGGUCAGGUGACCCCUGACCCGCGACGUGACCCGGCCCGUCAAGGGACUCUCGGCUCACCCCCAUCUUGCGUCUCACACAUCGCCUCUUCGCGUCGUGUCACUCGUUUGCGUUAAUGGCCGCAUUAGCUACGUACUUGCUUCGUGGGCCCACCAUUCUCCGCUCCUCUGCGCUUCGCUCCCUCCGCUUAUGUCGAAGCAAGUAAGUGAGCACACCACCAGCGACGUAGAUGGGAUGCUCAUUGCUCAAAGCACUUGAAACUCGUUUCUGAUUUUGAGGCAUUGACUGCCUGAUAUGAAUGAUAAACGUCAUGUUUUUGUUAUGCUGUUGAGAGCUCGUGACAAAGCAGAGUGUUUUCAUUGCAAGCAUUCGGCAUGGACGGAGCAUAACUUGACCAAUUACUUUUCCUGGCAGGGUUUAUAUGACGUUGAGGAGCUGGAUAUAACUGUCGAAACUGUGUGUUUCGUUAACUUUCCGCCCUUUCAGAGAUAUCGGUGCCUUUUCCGUUCAUGGGACGGGGCCCGGUGCCAGGAGACAGACUGUGGUUCCAUGCUAACACGGUCAGUGAGCCAGUGCUCCGGCCCAUACCGGAGCCGUGUGUGUAUGUCUGUGUGCGCUGUCUGACACUGUGCCGUGUGCGUGUGUUGGUGCAGGUCGCCGGGCCGCCGCUCCAUCUCGCCGCGGCGCCGGUCACGCAGCCGCAGCCCGCGUGGUUCGCCCGUCUACGACCGCUACAGGAGGUCCAGGAGCCGCGACUGAAGAGGUCCGCCGCCACCGACACUGGCCACUGUUGUCAGCGUUUGACGCCCCCGGAUGACGCCGGCACCCCCCCCCCCUCCCCAGCGCCGCCCAUACCCCCCUCCCUCGCUUCUGAAACGUGUGCGCUCAGAGGCCGGCCACGAGCCCUGCAGAAUAUCAGCUGUCUAUGAUCUGGCUGGUGGUGUAAUUUGCAUGACUGAGGAGUUCAGCUCACGGUAGCGGUUUGUGGCAUUCCAUUAUUUCAUCUGAGAUCGUGACGUCGGUGUAUGAACGUCAGAAAUACACGUUCAGCGAUUUU